rnacentral:rRNA from 1 species
GACGAACGCUGGCGGCGUGCCUAAUACAUGCAAGUCGAACGCAGUGGGGACGGGUGAGUAACACGUGGGUGACCUCCCAUCAGAGGGGAUAACACUUGGCAACAGGUGCUAAACUGAUACUGAUUGAUGGACCCGGGGGGCAUUAGCUAGUUGGUGAGGUAACGGCUCACCAGGGCCACGAUGCAUAGCCGGCCUGAGAGGGUGAUCGGCCACACUGGGACUGAGACACGGCCCAGACUCCUACGGGAGGCAGCAGUAGGGAAUCUUCGGCAAUGGACGAAAGUCUGACGGAGCAACGCCGCGUGAGUGAAGAAGGUUUUCGGAUCGUAAAACUCUGUUGUUAGAGAAGCGGUAUCUAACCAGAAAGCCACGGCUAACUACGUGCCAGCCGCCGCGGUAAUAC